rnacentral:rRNA from 1 species
CGCCGCGUGGGGGAUGACGGGUUUCGGCUUGUAAACCCCUGUUGCCCGGGACGAAACGCCUUUUUCGAGAGGCUUGACGGUACCGGGUGAGGAAGCACCGGCUAACUCCGUGC